UCUCAUUCUUAAUUAACAAGUUGUGUGUUAUAAGACCCCGAGGGCUUAGGAGAAAGAACGUUACUACAAGGCUCGAAAGGAACACAUUAGGGACCACUUCAUGUUCCCGACUUCUCCUUCCAGUUCCAUCCUUUUUAGCAGUAUUUUCUAGUGCGUGUGAUAAACCCCUCUGCUCUCACCCCCUGCCUUGUUCCGCUCCAUUGCCGAAGCCCCAACCCUAGGGGGAAAAGGGGGGAUAGAAUCCCAAGGAUAGCGACGGCGACGGCAGCGGCGACGACGACCUGCUUCAAGAAGAACCGGAGGUACCCCGGAGGCCGCCGUGGCGCUGGAGGCGUGCCCCACCACCGCAUACUCCAUGACGACCACCAUCCUAG
rnacentral:lncRNA from 1 species